rnacentral:rRNA from 1 species
CCCUUAGAUGUCCUGGGCCGCACGCGUGCUACACUGACGCCUACAGCGAGUACUUCCCAGCCCCGAGAGGUGGCUGGUAAUCAGCAAUAGGCGUCGUGAUGGGGAUAGAUCUUUGGAAUUAUGGAUCUUGAACGAGGAAUGCCUAGUAAGCGCAGGUCAUUAGCCUGCGUUGAUUAAGUCCCUGCCCUUUGUACACACCGCCCGUCGCUCCUACCGAUUUCGAGUGGUCCGGUGAAUCUUUCGGACUGCGCGCGGCUUCGUGCCGUGUCGCGGAAAGUCAGGUAAACCUUAUCACUUAGAGGAAGGAGAAGUCGUNACA